rnacentral:lncRNA from 1 species
GGGCUACAAUGUUUUAAGGUGUUGAGUUGAGGUUGGAGAUGUUAAAUGAAAAAUGCUUGGAAAAUGAAUGAAAAAUAUGAAUGAUAAGUGAAAUAUUUGAAAAGGUGCCAAGAAACUCUGACGAAGUAAUGAUUAGAAAUCAGAUGAGUCUGAGUGACCCCCAAGUAUUUAGAAUAAGGAAUCCCCCAGGACCACCUUCAAUAAGUCAACGAAUAACACAAUAAUAAGCUAAAUAUAAGAAACAAAAUAUACAUAUUAAGCAAGCAUGCAGUUC